CCUGGGGAGAUAGGGAGACCCAGUCUCAAAACCAACAAAAAGAUGGUCCACUUUCAGUUCAAAAUCAUCAAUCCUCAUUUUCAGUUUUUUUUUUCAUUAAGAACUGUAAUCUCACUCUUUUUCUCUUCCUUCAGUUCCUUUCUUGAACUUUCCACCUAUUGAGGCUCUCCAGUCCAGUGCAUUCUCGUCUAGGAUUCUAGUUGGAGUUUUGGCAGAAAUAUCUCUUGUUCUGGAGUUUCAAACUAAGAUUUUCUUACCCCAUCAUAUUUCUUUACUGUAUUAGAAAUUGUCUUUGCUCAUUUCCUCUGUAUUUUUACUGUUUUAUUUUCCCCGCUGCAGUGGCUUCUUUGAAAUGCUUUUGUUUCUAUUACUAAUUUUAAUAAUCGGUUCUCUCGGUUAAAUGUGCUGCAUUUCUAGGUACUCUGAGGUGGCAAUGAGGAGCUAGGUGUGUAUGUAAGUUGUUGCUAGAUGUCUCAGUCCCAUUCGUGUGAAGAAGAAAAGCUGAUGCCCAGGGAAGGAAGGGGUAGAGGAACGGAGAAGGGCAGCGCUGAAAGUGUCCUCUGUAAUGAUCAAAUACAACCUCCUACUCUUUACAUAGGUAAAAAAAAAUGAGGCUCAGAGAAUGAACUUGGGAGCAGCUAAAGAUAGAGCAGGAGGUGAUAUUAGAGAAGAUAAGAGAACCUCACCAUGCUACUGUAAAGGAAGACAUGAAGACGGAAAGAAGGGCAGGGGCAGAGCAGGCUCCUCCCUUUCUGUCUUUGGGAAACCUGGAGGCAGGGUGUGUCUGAGGGUCUCCUGAGAGAGGUUUGUCCAAGACAAAGACUUAGCUGGCAGAAGACUCCAAAGGCAAGUUACCCCUACCAGUGAAAGCCCAGAUGCGGUGGGUGGCAAGACCCCUGGGGGCCAGGGCCCCUGGUGUCUGUAGCCACUCAGCGUACUGUCCUGCCCAGGCCUUCCUCCUCUCCCUCACUCCCCUAGAGAGCUCUCUGUUUUGUAGGGAGGCCCUGGGGACAGUCCCAGUCUGAGCCCAGCUCCUGUCCUUGCCCCAGAGGCAGGGGCUUCUAUCUCAGCCUCUCUGCCCAGCCCUG
rnacentral:lncRNA from 1 species